rnacentral:rRNA from 1 species
AGUGAACGCUGGCGGCGUGCUUAACACAUGCAAGUCGAACGAGAACGGGUUAUAGCUUGCUAUAAUUGUCAGCUAAGUGGCGCACGGGUGAGUAAUGUAUAGGUAAUAUGCCUCUUACUAAUGGAUAACAAAUGGAAACGUUUGCUAAUACCUUAUACUCCUUAUUAACAUAAGUUAAUAAGGGAAAGAUUUAUUGGUAAGAGAUUAGCCUGUAUUGUAUCAGUUAGUUGGUGGGGUAAUGGCUUACCAAGACUAUGACACAUAACUGGUUUGAGAGGAUGAUCAGUCACACUGGAACUGAGACACGGUCCAGACUCCUACGGGAGGCAGCAGAGGGGAAUAUUGCACAAUGGACGAAAGUCUGAUGCAGCAACGCCGCGUGGAGGAUGACACAUUUCGGUGCGUAAACUCCUUUUAUAUGAGAAGAUAAUGACGGUAUUAUAUGAAUAAGCACCGGCUAACUCCGUGCCAGCCGCCGCGGUAACAC